rnacentral:rRNA from 1 species
AUGCAAUCUACCUUUUGCUAAGGGAUAGCCCAGAGAAAUUUGGAUUAAUACCUUAUAGUAUGAUGACUUGGCAUCAAGAUAUCAUUAAAGGUUACGGCAAAAGAUGAGCAUGCGUUCUAUUAGCUAGUUGGUGUGGUAACGGCAUACCAAGGCAACGAUAGAUAGGGGUCCUGAGAGGGAGAUCCCCCACACUGGUACUGAGACACGGACCAGACUCCUACGGGAGGCAGCAGUGAGGAAUAUUGGACAAUGGAGGCAACUCUGAUCCAGCCAUGCCGCGUGCAGGAAGACUGCCCUAUGGGUUGUAAACUGCUUUUAUACAGGAAGAAACACCUCUACGUGUAGAGAUUUGACGGUACUGUAAGAAUAAGGAUCGGCUAACUCCGUGCCAGCAGCCGCGGUAAUACGGAGGAUCCAAGCGUUAUCCGGAAUCAUUGGGUUUAAAGGGUCCGUAGGUGGAUAAUUAAGUCAGAGGUGAAAUCCUGCAGCUUAACUGUAGAAUUGCCUUUGAUACUGGUUGUCUUGAGUUAUUAUGAAGUGGUUAGAAUAUGUAGUGUAGCGGUGAAAUGCAUAGAUAUUACAUAGAAUACCAAUUGCGAAGGCAGAUCACUAAUAAUAUACUGACA